AGUGAACGCUGGCGGUAGGCCUAACACAUGCAAGUCGAACGGCAGCACAGUAAGAGCUUGCUCUUGCGGGUGGCGAGUGGCGGACGGGUGAGGAAUACAUCGGAAUCUACUUUUUCGUGGGGGAUAACGUAGGGAAACUUACGCUAAUACCGCAUACGACCUACGGGUGAAAGCAGGGGAUCUUCGGACCUUGCGCGAUUGAAUGAGCCGAUGUCGGAUUAGCUAGUUGGCGGGGUAAAGGCCCACCAAGGCGACGAUCCGUAGCUGGUCUGAGAGGAUGAUCAGCCACACUGGAACUGAGACACGGUCCAGACUCCUACGGGAGGCAGCAGUGGGGAAUAUUGGACAAUGGGCGCAAGCCUGAUCCAGCCAUACCGCGUGGGUGAAGAAGGCCUUCGGGUUGUAAAGCCCUUUUGUUGGGAAAGAAAAGCAGCAGGUUAAUACCCCGCUGUUCUGACGGUACCCAAAGAAUAAGCACCGGCUAACUGCGU
rnacentral:rRNA from 1 species